rfam:Medicago truncatula strain A17 chromosome 3, whole genome shotgun sequence.
UGCAGAAGUAGACAGGAGUGGUGUUGUUUCUGCUCAUCUUAUUAAAUAAUGAAUGAAUGAAUGACAUUUGCUUACUUAUAAGACGAGCCGAAUCAAUAUCACUCCAGUACACCUCACU